AAUGGAUGAAGUAUGAAGUUUUAUUAAAAGAAAAAGGGGUGAAAAGAACAAAGUUUUGUCCAUCUUUGUUCAUCAUAGCUGAAAGUUAGAGAAGAGAAAGGAGAGGAGAAAGCUCUUGAGUAUUCGGUCAUUAGGAGGAGGAAAAUUGAAGGAAAUCCCCAACCAUAGUGGGCUUGGAGCUAUGAGGGAAUUCGGAGUGGCCACCCGUUCUGAAAGUUUGAUUUUCUUCUGGUGAACUGGACAUCCUUUUAAUUACGUUUGAGGUUUUGGGCUUUUAAAUGUAAUAAGGCCGCUUAUUUAUUUUUGAUGGUUUUUAAUAUGUAUUACUAAGAUAGGUAAUACUUAUUUUAACUGUUGAAAUUGGAUAGCUUUAGGGCGCGUUUUCAAAAACAACAA